rnacentral:rRNA from 3 species
GAGAUCCCUGCCCUUAGUUGCUGCAGUUACUCUCAGGAGUAGCUGGGCUAACUAAGGGGACCGCCACUGCUGAAGUGGAGGAAGGAGGGGGCCACGGCAGGUCAGUAUGCCCCGAAACCCUGGGGCUACACGCGGGCUGCAAUGAUAGAGACAACGGGUUCCGAACUCGAAAGAGGGAGGCAAUCCUUAAACUCUAUCUCAGUUAUGAUUGAGGGCUGCAACUCGCCCUCAUGAAUAUGGAAUCCCUAGUAACCGCGCGUCAUAACCGCGCAGUGAAUAC